CGAGUUCUUCAACAGGCUUUUAGGGUGGGUUUCUCUUGCUUCUUUAAUUAGCAUAGAUUAUUCAAUUUCAGAUUGUUAUCUCUAUUUUGAUUUCUUUAGUUGUACAUCAACUAUGGUUAUAUAGUUUUGUGGUUUUGGGACUUGGAAUAUAAAAACUAAAGUAUAAAAACUAAGUUAUAUUACUUUCUGUUUACACUAUGGGUUAUUAUUUCUAGGUCUAUAAAUUAAUUAAAAAUAAUUUUUUGCAAAAUUAAUUUAAUUUGUUUUGUUUCAUUAAUUUUAUUUAAAGGCCUAGGAUAUUAUUUACGUAAUUAUUGUGGUGUAUAUAAGAUAAGCAUGCAGUGAAAGUUAGCUUGGAGUGGGAGUUAUAAGGAAGUGGUUAGCUGAAGAUGGGAACGUGGGAAGUUAUAAAAUGAGCAGAAAUCUCCAGCUUUUGAACGUGGAAUAAUGGAGAUUCCAGGUGCUGCCAAGAGAAGUCUAUGAAUGAGAGAUGGCCUGCAAUGUUGCAAAGCCCACUCAAUCAACUAAUCAAAUCAGACUCAAUCUAUUCUUUAUUUUCAUUGUCAACCUUUAAUUUUUAAGCUGUUGCAUUUAAUAUUCAAAGGCCUUGUUCGUUUAAUUUCCCAAAGCUUUGUUAUUACUUUCAAGCAAUCAAUACAAGUCCUUUUUGUCAGAUUGGGCAAAGUUGCAUACAAUAGAUCUUGUUCCUACAAUCUUUGUGAUUCUAGAAGUUAGAGUGCCCUAACUAAUACACUCUAUCUGGCAUGUUCACAUCUUCAAGCUAUUUGCCAGCUGAUUGUUUUUUAAGCAAACAAUUUUUUGGUACCCCCAGUGAGACGGAUUCUCAAAUCAACUUUCCUUAGCCAAAAAUUGCAAACAAUCUUUUGGCAUGCCUGCAUCUUCAAGCUAUUUGCCAACAAAGUGUUUUUCAAGCGAACGCUUUCACAUGCUUUUGCACGUCUGAUGCACAUGCAUUUGACCAGCUUAAUAUUAAUGACUGGUAGGCAAAGAAUGUAAAUUUUGGUCAGAUAAGGUAAUAUUAGGAUCCUCACCCUUCUUUCCUUAUUUGAGCUCGGCAUCCUGUUAUGUGAAUGAUGAAGGCUUCUUUUUCUUCUUGGCAUCCCUUUUUGAAUCCUUUUUGGAGCAUUUGUGUUACAUAUUAUAGGAGGAGAAAUAAGUAGUUGACAGUUAGGGGAGUUGGGUAGAAUAGUUUUUGGAGCGAAAUAUUGUUCGAAGAAAAAGUUAGCAUAACUGAAUCUAUUAUGAAGCAGUUAUCAUAACUGAAUUAGUUGAGUAGCUGAUGUACUACUCUGUAAGGAGUGGUAUUGCUUGUAUCAAAUUAUUCAAUUGAUGAAUCAAGAACAAGAGGCUUUCUCUUCCUCAGAAUUCUAUUCACUUCUCAUCUAGUCUUUUCUCUUCUCAUCCCAUCUAUUUCUUCUGUUUUCGAGAUUCUGUUGCAAGCUCUGCAUCAAGAGAUUGUUUCCAAGACUGAUAUCUAACAAUUUGUUUAUUGAAAAAACAUAGUACCAAGCAUGACUCUGGAUAUGUGCAAUGGAUGUAGAAAUGCUUUUCAAUUGUUUACUAUUGCUUUCAGGUUCCAUAGCUGCUUCUGAAGUUGCAAAGGUAAUUUGUUGAAGAAUAUUUGACAUGUUUUACUGAUUCUUUUCUUAAUAGACAUUGGAUGAGUUGCCAUUGGA
rnacentral:misc_RNA from 1 species